rnacentral:tRNA from 1 species
ACCUGGCUGGCUCAGUUGGUAGAGCAUGGGACUCUUGAUCUCUGGGUCAUGAGUUCGAGUCCCAUGUUAGCUG